UACGGAGGGGGCUAGCGUUGUUCGGAAUUACUGGGCGUAAAGGGCGUGUAGGCGGCUUUGACAGUCAGGCGUGAAAGCCCCGGGCUUAACCUGGGAAUUGCGCUUGAUACUUUGAGGCUAGAGUUCGGGAGAGGAGAGUGGAAUUCCCAGUGUAGAGGUGAAAUUCGUAGAUAUUGGGAAGAACACCAGUGGCGAAGGCGGCUCUCUGGACCGAUACUGACGCUAAGGCGCGAAAGCGUGGGGAGCAAACAGG
rnacentral:rRNA from 1 species